rnacentral:lncRNA from 1 species
GAGGAAUACAUGGUUGAAUUUAUGUUAACUUGACCGCAUUUCAAGUGAAUGAGCAGUAUGAAGACCAGUUCACACCAUACUGUUGGAUUUACCAUUGAAGAAAGGAUAGUUAGGAGCCAGUUGCCACUUCUAUUUUAUCUUAUCUUUUUACUAAAAUCCUUUCUUCCCCGGAAAUGUAGGCGGUGGGCGGAAGCAAUGGCGGCGUUAGGGAGAGGGGAGGAGGGAGUGGAGGUGGUAGAGGAGGCGGGCGAGAGCAAGUUGGAGGUGGUGUUGAGGGUGAGGACGGCCUCGGGAACGAUGUUGGAGCAAGCGGCGUAAAUGGAGGCAGUGAGGGAGAACUUGUUCUCUCGCACUCCCCUUAAAGACAAGCUCGUUUUUGGUUGGCGAGGAGGACGCCGCAGAAAACGGAGACGAACAGGAGGGGCAGGGGCUUGAGAUCGAUGGGGACUGUGGAGCCGGCGCCAUCACGGGCGAUGCGGCGAUACAGGACUAGCGCAGUAGUGGUGUGGCCAAGGAAGAUGAGCAUAGCCGCCGCGGCCACCAUGAUGACCAUGAUGGGGUGGCUGCGGUGGGCGUGCCGGAGAAGAGCGGUGGUAGGAUGAGGCAAUUCUGCCGGCCCUGAUGGUGGCUGGGAUGGUGUGGCUCCAGAUAGCUCUCCCUCCCGAGAAGCUUCCUCUUCCUCUCUCUUUCUGGCGCCGUUGCCGCCGCCACUCACCAUAUGGCAUCAGGGCUAGUGGGGAGAAGCAGCUUCCGCCAUUAACAGCGCCGCCCACUGCCCACCGCAAGGCAUCUGGUCUACCCCCUGCAAGGCAGCGGGGCUAGGGGAAGAAGCGACUUCC